rnacentral:lncRNA from 1 species
CCUUCGCAUUUGCUGGGCAGGCGAACCCAGUCGUUCUCCUCAGCUCCGGCCUGGCUCGGGCCCAGCUCCGGGGCCGGCAGCAGCAGCAGCAGCAGCAGCAGCAAGGGAAGAAGCAGAAGACAGCGGGACGCGGGCUCAGGCAUUGAAUCCAUGGCCCGGCCGGGCCCGGACCCUAAAGGACCGGGCGGUUCCUCCUCCCGCGGCGCGCGCGGAGCAGUUUCCCCUCGCCGCUUCCGGGACUGCACACGUGCCUCCGAGCAACCACGACAACAGCUAGCCUCCCGCCCGCCCUCCUCUCGCAGCCGCAGCCCGCCUUCAAAGCGGACCAAGGCCCGCGGACGGCGCAGCCAAUAGGCUUUCUGGGGUUUGCUCUCUAGCUAAUGGGAAGACUAUCUUUUUACGCCCUUGGCCAGUAAGAGAGCAGAUGGUGGCCUCAGCGACCUAUGGCAAAGUCCUUUCCCACCCCCUAACGGAGGCUCUGGGAGAGAGAGGAUGCAGGACCAAGACCCGAGAAGAAGCCUGCGUCUGGGCCUGGGUGGGACGGAUUCAGGCGCGCAGCAACAACAGGGUGCCUGGCACAAGGAGAUACUCAGUAAAACUCUCAUCUGCUGUGUCAUUAAGGGGAACACUUAAUGGCUCACGCCUGUAAUCCCAGCACUUUGGGAGGCCGAGGCGGAAGGAUCACCUGAGCCCAGGAGUUGGAGACCAGCCUGGGCAACAGAUUGAGACCCUGUCUCAACAAAGAAGAAGAAGAAGAAAAAGGCCAGGCGCCGUGGCUAAUGUCUGUAAUCCCAGCACUUUGGGAGGCCAAGAAGGGAGAACUGCUUGAGGCCAGGAGUUCGAGACCAGCCUGGUCAACAUAGCGAGACACCCCCCCCAUCUCAAAAAUAAAUAAAUCAAAAUAAAAAAUAAAGAGGAGGCCGGGCUUGGUGGCUCACGCCUAUAAUUCCAGCACUUUGGAAGGCCGAGGUAGGUGGAUCACGAGGUCAGGAGUUCAAGACCAGCCUGGCCAAGAUGCUGAAACCCCAUCUCUACUAAAGAUACAAAAAGUUAGCCGGGCGUGGUGGCACACGCCUGUAAUCCCAGCUACUCGGGAGGUGGAGGCAGGAGA